rnacentral:misc_RNA from 1 species
GUCAAUUCUGGCCAAUAAGGCAGCCAAGGAUUCCAUAAACAUUAUACAGGAUCUGCGCAUGCCCUGAAGGGCAGCAUCCUUUUUGUCCAUUGGUUGGGUAGUUUCAAGAGGAGGAUAAAAUGCCUCCAGUGAAUCCAACACCAAACGUGCUGGUUCAUUUGCACUUUCUAGUGCGACAGAAAGUUUUUCACGAAUGGCAUAUAGAAUUUUUUGGUUCUCCAUAGUAAAACUCAGUAGCCCUUUUGCAUCCAUCUGCUCGCAAAAUUGCGUCAGCUCUGGACUUGGCUUAACACCAACAGCCAUGGUUUCAGC